UGAGGAAGCAAGAUGGUUGUCACAAUUGAUCAAUCACCAAUGGAAAGACAGUUCUUUCCCUGGGGAAUGUUCCAUGACCAGUGCUGGAUUUACACAGAAUGGAAAAGCAGGACUGACUUCUCUAUGACCUAAACGAAGAGAGAGAAAGAAGAACAUGAUUCCUUGGGCAAAAUCUCCUUCCCCUCCAUUCCAGUAUAGGAACUGACUUCUUGUUGCCAUUCAAUCAGGAUCAGACAACAGCAACAACAUCUCCUGGGAAGUACAUCCAUCAAGGGACAGAAAACACAGCCCAGCCUAAAAUAUCAGCCCUCAGAGAGAGAACUAGGCAGUGUACAACAAGAAAACAUUUUCAUCUGUGGACUAACUUCAAGGACAACCGCCUGGAGAAAGUCACUUCAAUCACUUUGCGGCUACUCCGCUGAGGACUUUUGAAAUGCCCCGUGCCUAUGACAACAAACCCUCAGCAGACAGGGCAAAGAACCUGCGGCUGUAUCCACAUCACACCUAACACCCGGGUCAGAGCUAGAACCACUAGGCCAAUGCCUCGAUUUUUCAAAC